rnacentral:tRNA from 1 species
UGGCUGAGCGGUAAAGCGCUUGACAUUCAAAGGUCCCGGGUUCGAAUCCCGG